GAUGAACGCUGGCGGCGUGCCUAAUACAUGCAAGUCGAACGCAUAGCGAAAGGUGCUUGCACCUUUCAAGUGAGUGGCGAACGGGUGAGUAACACGUGGACAACCUGCCUCAAGGCUGGGGAUAACAUUUGGAAACAGAUGCUAAUACCGAAUAAAACUUAGUGUCGCAUGACACAAAGUUAAAAGGCGCUUCGGCGUCACCUAGAGAUGGAUCCGCGGUGCAUUAGUUAGUUGGUGGGGUAAAGGCCUACCAAGACAAUGAUGCAUAGCCGAGUUGAGAGACUGAUCGGCCACAUUGGGACUGAGACACGGCCCAAACUCCUACGGGAGGCUGCAGCAGGGAAUCUUCCACAAUGGGCGAAAGCCUGAUGGAGCAACGCCGCGUGUGUGAUGAAGGCUUUCGGGUCGUAAAGCACUGUUGUAUGGGAAGAACAGCUAGAAUAGGAAAUGAUUUUAGUUUGACGGUACCAUACCAGAAAGGGACGGCUAAAUACGUG
rnacentral:rRNA from 1 species